AGCGGCCCGGGCCGGGGCGUGGGAACUGGGCAGGUGCGCGGCUGGCCUGCGGGGUUGAUGUGGGACCGGUCGACGCGGCCCCUGGAGUCGGGAAAGGCACUGUCAAGACCUGAGGGUCCAGCUUUUUCUGCUUAUUCACCACUUCGGCCCUGGAUUUCUGGUUGAAUUUCGCUGGAGUCCCUCUUCCCUUCUUAAAAAGAGGUUCUAUUCUAGGGAGUCAGUUUCUUCCCCUCCCCCCAGCGCCUCGUCAGCUGGAUCUUACCGAGGUCAGCUCCUCGCUUGGGGACACCCCCCCAGGGGGCCUGAUCGCCACCCCCCCAGGGUGCCUGAUCGACGUGCCCCUGAAUGAAGAAGUUCCCCGCGAUUCCCCCACCCGAGGGCCCAGAUACUGCUCGGCUGAAUUCACCCAAGUUCUAACCGCAGAGGCCAGGCUGCCCAGACGCCUUGAGAUCCUACUGAUAGACACCUAUUUUGAGCACAAUUACUUUACUGUGUGUGGUUGACAUCUUUUCUUUAGAUUUCAUCUUUUGUUUGGGAGACAGUCAAUGCUUGUAGAAAGUCCUGGAAUUAAGAAUUUUUACUUUGGUGCCUUUGGGGAGGAAGGCAAUGAGCCUCGGAGCUUGUUGGCAAAUGCAGAAGUCUAGCAGAACUCCGUUAGGGCCACGUCCACUCUCGUAGGAGAGGUGAAAUGCGUGGACAGGCACUACGCGCAGUACAGUGUGGCAGGGGUCCACGCGGUCCUCAGGGCACCUGCUCCUGGGGGAAAGGUGGGCCCCAAGAUGCAGUUGUUCCUGUCUACCUCAGCACUUAAUAAAGUUUAAGUGGAGGUAACAGCAGGGCCGUGUGUGUUCUGCCAAUAACCCGGUGGACAUCAAAUAAUACCAGUGCUCACUUUUAAAUAUUUUACUUAGUUGGAAAUCCCUAAGGUGCAUCUGUCAAUUUUUUGUAUUUUGACUUCUCACACAUGCAGACAUCUGGUAAGUGGGUGUUCAAGUACAUAUGCAUGUUUAAGCCAAGAGGUCUGUAAGAAAAGAGGUAAAAUUGGCACACUGCUAUUUAGGGUGUCAGUCAUAACAUUAAGAACCUUGAUGGUCGGGCGCGGUGGCUCAUGCCUGUAAUCCCAGCACUUUAGGAGGCCGAGGCGGGCGGAUCACGAGGUCAGGAGAUUGAGACCAUCCUGGCUAAUAUGGUGAAACCCCGUCUCCACUAAAAAAUACAAAAAAAUUAGCCGGGCGUGGUGGCGGGCACCUGUAGUCCUAGCUACUCGGGAGGCUGAGGCAGGAGAAUGGCGUGAACCCGGGAGGUGGAGCUUGCAGUGAGCGGAGAUCGCGCCACUGCACUCCAGCCUGGGCGACAGAGCGAGACUUCGUCUCAAAAAAAAAAAAAAAAAAAAAAAAAAACACAGGGUCCUGAUAAAUCAGGGUUCCUUGCUGAGUUCACACUAAGAAGAUGUGCAGACAGGUGCCUGCGGGGCAGCCUGCAAUGCUCACAAGCUUAGCUCCGGUUGGGAUAUUGUCAGGGUAGUUUUCCACCUACACUAAUGGGCAGUGAAAUAUGUGACUGAUACUUUCCUGUAUGGUCAGCGUGGAUGGUGGUUGCUGGUCCAGGUGUUUUGCUGCGUUUCCUUCUUGCCCCUGGGCUGGAGAGCACCUUGAGCUCCCUUGGUUGCUGUUGGCUACUGCGCUGUCUCUUCUCCCAAACAUACUCUUGCUUCAGUACAGCAAAGAAGUUAGGAGAGUACCACAUUUGCUCCUUGUUACCAUAACCCAACUCUUGAUAGAGAGCUUCUGUGAGGCUCAGGUAUGUUUCCACUGGAUCAUACCACGGUUCUCUGAGAUAGUAGGUAAGCAGGAUUCAUCCCCACUUUACAGGUAAGAAACUGGAAACCCAGAAAGGUCAGAUAGCUCUCCCAAGGUCUCACAGGGGUAGAACUAGGUCUUUUGGCUCUUAGACCUUAGAUGCCUCUUCUUAGAUGUGGUGGCUCACAAUAUCCCUAUUGUGAUAAUAUCUUACUGACUUUCAUACAAUUAUUUUUGUUUGAGAAACAUCUUUUGUCAUAACCUCCCUUAAUGAUCACAAUGGGAAAAACUUUGUGUUGCUAUUUGGGGCUGAGCUUUCUUGUCAUCACAAAGUAGAAAUGAGACAAAAUUCUUCACUCUGAAUUCCAAGAGCUCUUGAUGGAAUUCGAAGGUUGGGGGCAAGGGCUGGAUGACUUGGGGUUUGGUGAGGAUGGGGAAGUGGAAGGGAUCUCCUGUGGUAUUACUCCUUGUCUGUUCUUCCAGACGGCUUAGGAAGAAGCAAUGUUGGGUGUGAUCUGAGUGCCUGGACUUGGGCCGGCUUCCUGGGAUGGAGGAGAGCUCUUGAUUUCUUAAAGCUAAGUUACUGUUUGGCAACAGAUGAUUUACAGGUGGCAGUGUCUGCUGAGUCGUCCCAAGGCACAGAGAUGUGAUCUGCAGAAGACUAAGAAAUACCAAGCAGGAGGAGUCUUGGCAUUUGGAACGGGUAAAUCAAGAACCUGCUCUUGUUGGCUUGCGAGUGCCUUUAAAGCGAAAGCAAGAAGCUUAGAAGGAAAACGUCACAGAUCAUGCACGCUUAAAAUAAAAACAUGCAAAAGAAGUAAAUAAAAAUAAUAAAAACAUGCAAAUAAAGGAGAAAAUAAAAACCCCAUCCAGCACCGUGAAUCUUUUCAGCCUUCUGGCUUUUAAAUUUUUCUUUGUAUAGGACAGUUAAACAAAACCAGAGUCAUAAUUGACCAUUUUAACCUAGUUUAAGUCAACAUAUUGUUACCACCUCUCGAUAUCAGUACAUCUGCUUCUGCAGCAUGAUCUUUGGUGGUGGUGGUGGUUGUUGUUGUUGUCGUUGAGAGGGAGUCUCGCUCUUUCGCCCAGGCUGGAGUGCAGUGGCGCGAUCUUGGCUCACUGCAACCUCUGCCUCCCAGGUUCAAGCGAUUCUCCUGCCUCAGCCUCCCGAAUAGCUGGGACUACAGGCGCCCGCUACCACGCCCGGCUAAUUUUUGUACUUUUAGUAGAGACGGGGUUUCACCGUGUUAGCCAGGAUGGUCUAGAUCUCCUGACCUUGUGAUCCGCCCGCCUCGGCCUCCCAAAGUGCUGGGAUUACAGGCAUGAGCCAUCGCGCCCGGCCUGGAUAUGUAGGGUUUAAAGCAUUUAAGAAAAUAUUUUCCGUUACCAAAUUGUCUUCCAGAAAAGUAUUGCCAAUCUGAUACUGGAAGAGUGGCAUAUCAACGGAGUUUCAGUUUGUAUUUCCUGGAGUGUAUUUGAGCUGAUGUUCCUCUGCGUGUUAAUAAAUAAGUGUUUUCGUUCUUGUACGUGUCUGUGCUGAGGUGUGGGUGUUCUCCAGCCUGAGGCCUCUCUUUCUCAACCUGUGCAUGGAGGUCAGCCUAGGCAGCCUCUGAAGUACAUGGAGCCCUGGAGGUCGGCCGAGGCAGCCUCUGAAGUACAUGGAGCCCUGGACAGCGCCCUGAGUUUCUGUAGGGUUUCUUUCUUUUGUGGUAUUAUCCUUUCUUACGAGUUUCAGAUAUAGGCCAUCAGUCUGCGUCAUUCGGUAAGGAAUAAAGAACAUGGAAAUGCCUACUUUUCACUACCUUUGUUCCGGUGUGACGUUCUCCUUGUAAAGGGCAGAGGGUAGUAGACUAAGGCAGGCAGCAGCAGGACGGUGCUGAGAACGGCUCUGAAGAGUCUCUCUUUUGUGCUGACUUAAAAGUUUUCUCUACUGUUGGAUGAUCUCUUGAUAAUUAAAAAAGAAAUUAUGAUACUGAUAGCUGUUCGGCCUGCAGAAUAAAGCUGCAGUUACUUCAUUCAGCAAGGUCUCAGGCUCCUAAUUUUAGAGUUCCUAGAAUUUUGUAGUCCUCUCAAGAUUGGGUUCUGGCCAGGUGCCAUGGCUCACGCCUAUAAUCCCAGCACUCUGGGAGGCUGAGGCAGGUGUUUUACUUGAGGUCAGGAGUUCAAAACCAGCCUGGGCAACAGAGUGAGAUCCUGUCUCUAUUAAAAAAGAUUGGGUUCAGGCCGGGCGCAGUGGCUCGUGCAUGUAAUCCAAGCACUGUGGGAGACCCAGGCAGGCAGAUCACUUGAGGUCAGGAGUUCGAGACCAGCCUGGCCAACAUAGCGAGACUGUCUCUAUUAAAAAAGAUUGGAGCCUGGUGCAGUGGCUCACGCCUGUAAUCCCAGCACUUCGGGAGGCCAAGGCAGGUGGAUCACGAAGUCAGGGGACCGAGCCCAUGCUGGCUAACAUGGUGAAACCCUGUCUCUACUAAAAAUACAAAAAAUUAGCCAGGCAUCGUGGUGGGUACCUGUAGUCCCAGCUACUCGGGAGGCUGAGGCAGGAGAAUGGCGUGAACCCGGGAGGCAGAGCUUGCAGUGAGCCGAGAUCUCACCACUGCACUCCAGCCUGGGUGACAGAGCGAGACUCUGUCUCAAAAAAAAAAAAAAAAAAAAAAAAAAAAAAAGAUUGGGUUCAGGCUGGGUGCGGUGGCUCACACAUGUAAUCCAAGCACUUUGGGAGGCCAAGGCAGGCAGAUCACUUGAGGUCAGGAGUUGGAGACCAGCCUGGCCAACAUGGUGAAACGCCAUCUCUACUAAAAAUACAAAAAAAAAAUCAGCCAGGCCUGGUGGCGAGUGCCUGUAGUUCCAGCUACUCGGGAGGCUGAGGCACGAGAAUCGCUUGAACCCAGGAGGCGGAGUUUGCAGUGAGCUGAGAUCUUGCCACUGCACUCCAGCCUGGGUGACAGAGCAAGACUCUUGUCUCAAAAAAAAAAUAAAAAUAAAAAAACAUUGGGUUUUAGGUACUAUGCCAAUAUGGGAGCUCUUUUAAAUUUAAAGCAAAUCUCAAAAUAAAAAAAUGGAUAUUCUAUAAUCUCCCCCUUGCCCACCCAAGGGAGUGACUCUGGUCUGGUAUGGGGGGAUGAGAAUCUGAGGCUGACACCCUCAGGCAGGUGGCUGAAUCUCAGGCCCACAGAGACUGGGUUGCUGUUGGCUCCUGUAGCGGCUCCACUGUGGAGAGAAAGGUUCUGCCAGAAAAUCUGGGAGCCACAGAUUAGAACCUUCCUCCAGGCACUCACCAUUUCUCCCCAUCUGUGCUCUCGGCGGGGGCUGCUUUGUGCCCACUUGUCCCAGGUGCAGGGACCCAGCAAGAAUGGGACAGACCUGGCUGCUCCCUGGGGGAGGCAAAUGGGCAAAAGGACGUUAUGGCCUGAGCACCUAGCAGCCUCCAGGUACAGGUGUUCUCUGGAUGCAGUCCUGAGGCUCAGGUGUAGGCCGCUGUGUGAGGUGGGGGUAGGUGAGGCUGGAAAGUGUUCUAGACACAGAGACGAGGGUGCAUCAUAGAAUUUGGGGACGUUGGGUCCUACUUGCUCUUGGGGAAUGGGAGCUUUGCAUCCUGUCAUCUUUGUUUCCCUAAAGAUCACCCUGGGUGCUGGGCAUGGGGGUGCGUGUCUCAACUACUCGGGAGGCUGAAGUGGGAAGAUUACUGGAGCCCAAGAGUUUGAAGCUGCAGUGAGCCAUGAUCACUCCUGUGACUAACCACUGCACUCCAGCCUGGGCAGCACAGUGAAACCCCGGGUCUUUGAAAUAAUAAAAUAAAGAUCACCCUGGCCUCUUUCUGACCCGUAUCUGAAAUUGGUUGUCUAUGUGAAGCAGAACAGUGGUACCCAGAGGCAGGGCACUGAGGCUUGUUUUAUUUUAGGGGACGACAUUGCAGGUGGGCUUUCCUUGGGAGCGGAUAUUUCCUUCAGAGGGACAUAAAGAGUGCUCCUUGGCAGGCUGUCUUCCAGGUGGCCCUUGGCACUGCCUGCAGAUCGGGUGGGCAGUGCAGCUGGGGAGCUCUGUGCACUGGCAGGGUCACCUGCACGUGGUCUCAUCCUUCACAGUAGAAGUUUGUGGCGUCUGCUGCUCUAGGCUGGUGUCCAGAUGUGUCCUACAGAGACAUGUUGACCUGUUUUCCAAGCACACUUCAGUGUGAGGACUUAUUUCCAUAUAGUCCUUUUUAUUCAUAUAUCUCAAACUUUUUUUUUUUUUUUUUUUUGAGACGCACUCUCGCUCUGUCGCCAAGGCUGGAGUGCAGUGGCGUGAUCUCAGCUCACUGCAACCUCCGCCUCCUAGUCCUGGUUCAAGCAAUUCUCCUGCCUCAGCCUCCCGAGUAGCUGGGAUUACAGGCACGCGCAUCCGUGCCCAGCUAAUUUUUGUAUUUUUAGUAGAUUCGGGGUUUCACCAUGUUGGCUAGGCUGGUCUUGAACUCCUGACCUCAUGAUCUGCCUGCCUCGGCCUCCCAAAGUGCUGGGAUUACAGGCGUGAGCCACCAUGCCCGGCUUUAAAAACAUUUUUUUAAGAGACGGGCUGGGUGUGAUGGCUCACAACUAUAGUCCCAACACUUUGAGAGGCUGAGGCAGGAGGAUCACUUGAGGCCAGGAGUUCAAGACCAGCCUGAACAAUAUAGUGAGACUCUGUUUCUACAAAAAAUAUAAAAAUUAGCCAAGUGUGAUGGUUUACCCCUGUAGUUCCAGCUACUUGGGAGGCUGAGGCAGGAGGAUCACGUGAGGCCAGGAAUUUGAGGCUUCAGUGAGCUAUGAUUGUGCCAGUGCACUCUAGCCUGGGCAGUAGAGUAAGACCCUGUCUCCAAAAAGGAAAAAAGAGAGUCAGAGAGAGAGAGAUGGCAUCUCGCUCUGUCACUCAGGCUGGAGUUCAGUGGCACAGUGGCAGCCUCCUGAGUGGCUGGGACUACAGGUGUGCACCACUGCACCUGGCUAAUUAAAAAGAUAUAUAUAUUGUGGCCGGGCACAGUGGCUCACGCCUGUAAUCCCAGCACUUCGGGAGACCGAGGCGGUGGAUCACGAUGUCAGGAGAUCGAGACCAUCCUGGCUAACACGGUGAAACCUCGUCUCUACUAAUAGUACAAAAAAAUUAGCCAGGCAUGGUGGCUGGCGCCUAUAGUUCCAGCUACUCGGUGGGCUAAGGCAGGAGAAUGGUGUGAACCCGGGGGGCAGAGGUUGCAGUGAGCCGAGAUCGCACCACUGCGCUCCAGCCUGGGCAACAGAGCGAGACUCCGUCUCCAAAAAAAAAAAAGAAGACUAAAACAUAUAAAUUAUACCUGUCUCCCUACAGAAACUCAUUAAGAGACUCAUGCUCAGACCGUUGUCUGGUUAAUGUGAACAACAUGAGCACAUCUGAAGAAAGGGUGAGAACAAAGGGUUACAUUCAGCUUUCAGGUCAACUAAUUUAAAACAACAGGACGGGCCAGGCACAAUGAAUUGUGAAAAAUAACGCUGACAAUUUAAAAUAGUGGAACAAAAUUAAAAAAGGAAAAAGAAAAAAAAACUAUAAAGAAAAUUUGACAUAUGAAAAAGCGUAUUGUCCAGGUGCAGUGGCUCACACCUGUAAUUCUAGCAUUUUGGGAGGCCAAGUUGGGCGGAUCAUGUGAGGUCAGGAGUUUGAGACCAGCCUGGCCAACAUGGUGAAACGAAUCUCUACUAAAAAUACAAAAAUUAGCCGAGCGUGGUGGCGCGCAUCUGUAGUCCCAGCUACUUGGGAGGCUGAGGCAGGAGAAUCACUUGAAACCAGGAGGCAGAGGUUGCAGCGAGUCAAGAUUGCACCAUUGAACUCUAGCCUGGGCAAUGAGGGAAACUGUCUCAAAAAAAUAGCCGGGCGCAGUGGCUCAUGCCUGUAAUCCUAGCACUUUGGGAGGCCGAGGUGGGCAGAUCACCUGAGGUCAGGAGUUUGAGACCAGCCUGAUCAACAUGGAGAAACCCCGUCUACUAAAAAUACAAAAUUAGGCCGGG